GAGUCCACCCAGGCGUGCGUCAGAUCAGCCCUGUCAACAUCACGAGAAAGACAACUUGGGUACAUGACUUUUAAAAGGUGAAAAGAGGACAGGAGAUACAAAAGAGAAAAAAAAACAGAAGUGGGACUGAAGAAGAGAGGAUUAUUGAAGAAAUAAGAAGACUCUAAACGUCUGAAGACGCUUGACAAAGGCCUGCAGGAGACCAGCCAUGGAGGAGGAUUACAAGAGACCACCACCAUCCUAUGAAGAAGUUAUAACCGAGCAGCACACGAGCAACACUAGUCAGAGCCACACUGCUGAUAACAGGCAGGGCUGCUGCUGCAGAUGUUGCAUUAGCACCAAGAACUGUCUGAUGAGUCCGGAGUGCGGUCGAGCUCUUAACAUCGCCAGCGUGAUUGCCAUGUGUGGCAUGUGUAUUCGAAUGUUUGUCUAACACAGUCUCCUGUGGACCAUUUAUUCCAGAUCUCUCAUCCAGUGGUGGCCUUCUCAAAUUAAAAAGGAAACAAAGACAUUUGCUCUGUUCCAAAACCUAGUGAUCUGCAACAUGUAUAAGCGUUCCCCCAAUACGAAUCCCAAUGCUGUUCCAAAAAGGAUGCAGCACUGCAUUUAUCCUUAACAGAUAAG
rnacentral:lncRNA from 1 species